rnacentral:snoRNA from 1 species
AAGCUAGAGGCUAGACACCUUCGGUGGUGGGUAUAGGUUUUUGUCCCUGGUUGCUGGGUUUGUGUUGUGCGAUAUUAAAACAAAAGCCAUGAGACUUGUAAGCCCAGUGUGUAAAGAUACACUCUGAGUUAUAACUCAGAGGCACAGUU